AGUGAACGCUGGCGGUAGGCCUAACACAUGCAAGUCGAACGGCAGCACAGUAAGAGCUUGCUCUUACGGGUGGCGAGUGGCGGACGGGUGAGGAAUACAUCGGAAUCUACUUUUUCGUGGGGGAUAACGUAGGGAAACUUACGCUAAUACCGCAUACGACCUACGGGUGAAAGCAGGGGAUCUUCGGACCUUGCGCGAUUGAAUGAGCCGAUGUCGGAUUAGCUAGUUGGCGGGGUAAAGGCCCACCAAGGCGACGAUCCGUAGCUGGUCUGAGAGGAUGAUCAGCCACACUGGAACUGAGACACGGUCCAGACUCCUACGGGGGGCAGCAGUGGGGAAUAUUGGACAAUGGGCGCAAGCCUGAUCCAGCCAUACCGCGUGGGUGAAGAAGGCCUUCGGGUUGUAAAGCCCUUUUGUUGGGAAAGAAGAGCAGCAGGUUAAUACCCCGCUGUUCUGACGGUACCCAAAGAAUAAGCACCGGAUAACUUCGUG
rnacentral:rRNA from 1 species